rnacentral:lncRNA from 10 species
CCUUCCCAGUUUUCUCCUUCCAGCUCAGAAAGCAAUCACUUACUAAUAUCAUAUGAAGAGAGAGAGAGGGAGAGAGAGAGAAAAACCUUUCUGCAAUUUACAAAAUUACAGAUGGAAUGACAGGGACAGGAUUUAUUCCCCACUGGAAGCAACUGGAAAACUGGAAAAAAAUAUACAAAACAGCAGUUCUCAAGACAUUGUGUGCCGGCAACAAAGGACAGUGAUGCUGGAGAGAUGAGAAAUAAGCAAGAACUCUUGUCAAUUGCCUUACGGACAGACCUAUAAGGCAAGAAACUGAUAUCUGUGAUCGAGAGCCAGUGAGCACCUGGGGCUUGUCACUGGCCAUGUGAGUGAGCUUGGAAGCAGAUACUCUCCCAGUUAAGCUUGGAAAUGAUUGCAGCCCCAACCCUGAUGGCUGACUUGUGAGAGACCUCCUUGAUUCACAGGCACCCAGUUCAUCUGCACCUGGAUUGCUGACCCAUGGAAAUGGCGAAGUAAUAAAUGUU